rnacentral:rRNA from 1 species
UACGGGAGACAUAAGAGUGCACGGUGGAUGCCUUGGCCUAGGACGGCUAUGAAGGACGCGACUAACCUGCGAAAAGCUUCGGGGAGGCGGUUUGUAGCCUUUGAUCCGGAGAUAUCCGAAUGGGGAAACCCUCCAGUUUCGAACUGGAAUUCGCGGGGUAACGCCCGCGUAAAGCGAACCCGGGGAAGUGAAACAUCUCAGUACCCGGAGGAAAAGAGAACAAUAUGAGUUGCGUUCAGUCCGCGCGUUAUGUUCGUGCGGGUUGAACGCAACUCGCGUGAUACCCUGAGUAGCGGCGAGCGAAAAGGGAAAAGCCCAAACCGCUGUCUUCGGAUAGCGGGGUUGUAAGAUGUGAACAUCGUACUUGUACGAGAGGAGUUAUCAAUCGUCUGUAUAGCAGAAGCUGUUGGGAAGCAGCGCCCCAGAGGGUAAUGGCCCCGUAUGCGAAAUACAUGACGACUUCUGUUUAUAUUCUUGAGUAACUCGAGACACGAAUAGCUCGAGUGAAUCUGCCGGAACUAACCGGUAAGGCUAAAUACGUCCUAUGACCGAUAGUGAACUAGUACCGUGAGGGAAAGGUGAAAAGAACCCCGAGAGGGGAGUGAAAUAGAACUGAAACCGUGUACUUACAAGGGGUCGGAGCCCCGUGAGAUAAAGAAUCGGCAGUGUUGAUGUGCCUCUUGAUAACAACUAUAUCGAGAGCGCGAAAUGACAUUCGGGUUUUUUAUCUCACGGGGUGACGGCAUGCCUAUUGAAGAAUGAGCCGGCGAGUGUAUAUAUCUUGCGUAGCUAAAUCCUUCCGGGAUGGAGCUUAAGGGAAACCGAGCGUGAAUAGCGCAUCAGUAGGAUAUAUACGACCCGAAGCCAGAUGAGAUUGCCAUGUGCAGUGUGUAGUUUGUCGAAAGACAGAUGGAUGCCCGAACCCGUAGGUCGUUCAACGCCUUGGGAUGACUUGUGGUAUGG